GGUUCUAUGGUGUAGUGG
rnacentral:siRNA from 1 species